UACUGAGAGUCGCUCGGGUCUGACGGUAAGAGAGAUCAGGGAGAUAAGAGGAGGAAUUCCUGCUGUUCCAGCCUCCCUCCAGCGGGGGCUUGUGGGUAGAGGAGGCUUGUUGUGUGGGGUAGUAUCGGGGGACAAGGUGGUUACCAGACCCAGCGCGAUAUAAUAGCGAAUUAUAUGGCGAGAAUAAUAGAUAAUUGUUUCGAAAGACUCAUCGAAAUCAAACCAUUCCCUCUGGAGUUUGACUUAGUUUAGGUUGAGUUUACAACACGGUGUUUUACCGUCGCUAUUACAGGUUUAAAACCUGACCGCCGGAAGAGCCUCGCUGUGGCGCACCUGAACGAGCUGUGGUGCUCGCGCGCUGGUCCGCGUGCUCGACCCGCUCCCUUUAACUCUCGUACAACUUCUGUUAGCGCAGCAAAGAAAAGCAGACCUCAGGAAAUUCUCGUUUCAAUCAUUAACCAGAUAGUCCAGACACAACGCUCUCUACGCAGCUGUCUACAGAGGGACAUGUUCUCUCUGAGACCGCUAGACUGGUAGGAGCUCUCGACACCACUACAGGUGCCUUCCUUCUCCCCCGAGUCGAAGGAGACACUGCCCUGCAUGAUGUUUGGAGCGGAGAGGAGGCUGGAGAACCGGCUGAAGAAGCUGGAGGCCAUGAUGAGGGACCCCAAGUCGGUACUCAAUCUGGAGACCAUGUUGGAUUCCAUGAAUGCAUUGGCCCGUGAUUUGGACUACCCUGCCCUCAGGAAAAACAAAAACAUAGAUGCAUUCCUGAACAGAUACGAGAAGGCGGUGGGCCAGCUGCGGGAGCUCCAGGUGAAGCUGGAGGACUUCGACCGGGUCAAGCUGAUCGGCCGAGGAGCCUACGGUGAAGUGCAACUGGUCCGCCACAAGGCCUCUCAGAAGGUGUACGCCAUGAAGCAGCUCAGCAAGUUCGAGAUGAUCAAACGCUCAGACUCCGCCUUCUUUUGGGAGGAGCGGGACAUCAUGGCCUUCUCAGACAGCCCGUGGGUCGUUCAGCUGUGCUGCGCAUUCCAGGACGACCAGCACCUCUACAUGGUGAUGGAGUUCAUGCCGGGCGGCGACCUGGUCACGCUCACCCUGAACUACGACCUCCCCGAGAAGUGGGUGCGCUUCUACACGGCGGAGGUGGUGCUGGCCCUGGACGCUAUCCACACCAUGGGCUUUAUCCACCGCGACGUCAAGCCCGACAACAUGCUCCUGGACCAGCACGGCCACCUCAAGCUGGCCGACUUCGGUACCUGCAUGCGGAUGGACUCGACGGGCAUGGUGCGCUGUGACACGGCUGUGGGCACGCCAGACUACAUCUCCCCCGAGGUGCUGCAGUCGGAGGGGGGGCAGGGCUACUACGGCCGCGAGUGCGACUGGUGGUCCGUGGGAGUCGUCAUCUAUGAGAUGCUGGUUGGUGAGACCCCGUUUUACGCGGAGUCCCUGGUGGGGACCUAUGGGAAGAUCAUGGACCACAAGAACAGCCUUCGCUUCCCCGAGGACGUGGAGAUGUCCCGGGAUGUCAGGGACCUCAUCAACCUCUUCCUCACAGAGAGGGAGGUGAGGCUGGGACGCAGCACCGUGGAUGAGAUCCAAAGGCACCCCUUCUUCAAGAACGACCAGUGGACCUUUGACACCAUCCGACAGACGGUGGCCCCGGUGGUCCCAGAGCUGAGCAGUGACAUCGACACCAGCAACUUUGACGACAUUGAGAAGGUCAAAGGGGGCGACACCUUCCCCCAGCCCAGAGCCUUCGUGGGCAACCAGCUUCCCUUCGUGGGGUUCACCUACUUCAAAGAGGACCAGCUACUUGGUGGCAAUCUAUGCAGCUCAUUGAAGGAGGACUGCUCUGAUGAAAAGGACGACUCUCGUGGCGAGCUGAAGGAGAAGAUCCACCAGCUUGAGGAGCAGCUGGACCAUGAGAUGCAGGCCAAGGAUGAGCUGGACCACAAGUGCAGGCAUGCCACCAGCCGCCUGGAGAAGUUGGUGAAAGAGCUGGACGAGGAGAUGAGCAGCCGUCAGGGGGUGGAGUCGUCCCUCCGUCAGCUGGAGAUGGAGCGGGCCCUGCUGCAGCACCAGAACACUGAGAGUCUGCGCAAGGCCGACACCGAGAUGGAGCGCAAGCGCAGCCUGGAGAACGAACUGAACAGCAUGCAAGACCAGCUGGAGGAGCUGAAGAGGAGGAACCAGAGCUCCCAGGUCUCCACCGAAAAGAACAUUCAGCUGCAGAGACAACUGGACGAGGCCAGCGCCGCGCUGCGGGCGGAGCUGGAGGUGGCGGACCGCAGCCGGCGGAGCCAGGCGGAGGCCCAGAAGCAGGCCCUGGCUCUGGAGGCCAGCCUGCGGGAGGCUCAGGGGAAGUGCUCCCGGCUGGAGCAGGGCGAGUUGGAGCUGGAGAAGAGGCUGAGGGGCCUGCAGGCGGAGCUGGAGGCCGAGCGGAGGGAGCGCAGCCUGGGGGCCCAGAGCGCCACCGAGCUCCAGGGACGCAUCUCUAGCCUGGAAGAGGUGGCCAAGGAAGUACGCUCGUCUCUCUCUGAGGCUGAGAGCACCAAGAGGGAGCUGCAGCAAACCAUCACAGAUCUGGAGAAGGCGAAGAGCACCCAGGAGAUCGACCUGACCUUCAGCCUCAAGUCCCUGCAGCAGAGCCUGGAGCAGGAGGAGGCCGAACACAAGGCCACCAAGGCCGGCCUCGCCGACAAGAACCAGAUCUACCAGUCCAUCGAGGAGGCCAAGUCGGGGGCUCUGAAAGAGCUGGAGUGCACCCUGCAGGAGGAGCGCAGCCAGAGGCAGCAGGUGGAGGGCCGGCUGCUCCAGCUGGAGAAGGAACACUCUAUGCUGGACCACGACUACAAGCAGAGCCAGCACACGCUGGAUGAGCUGCGCACGGACAAGAACAAGCUCACUGAGGAGGUGAUGACGGUGACCGUGCGUCUGGAGCAGGAGAUGCAGAGGCGUGGCCUGUCCCAGAAGGAGCUGGCGGUGCAGUCCCAGCAGGUGUCUGGGCUGCGGGGCUCUGAGAAGCAGCUGAAGCAGGAGCUCAACCACCUGCUGGGCCUGCAGCAGAGCCUGGACACCCACAACCAGGAGCUACGCAGGGAGAAGCAGGAGGCUUACAGCCAGCUGAAGGAUCUGAAAGACCAGCUUGAGACGCAGCAAUACUUCACGACUCUAUACAAGACCCAGAUCCGGGAGAUGAAGGAGGAGUGGGAUGAGAGGAACAAGCUGUACCAAGACGCCCAACAGAGACUGGAGCAGUAUCAGGAGGAGAGGGAGUCCCUGGCCUCCAAGCUGGAGGCGAGCCUGACGAAGGCGGACUCUGAGCAGCUGGCGCGCUCCAUCGCUGAGGAGCAGUACUCGGACCUGGAGAAGGAGAAGAUCAUGAAGGAGCUGGAGAUCAAGGACAUGAUGGCCCGACAUCGGCAGGAGCUGAGCGACAAGGAGGCCACCAUCAGCUCGCUGGAAGAGUCCAACCGCACAAUGACGGUGGAUGUGGCCAACCUGGCCAACGAGAAGGAGGAACUCAACAACCAGCUGAAGGAGAAUCAACAACAACUUACUAAAGCUAAGGACUUGGAGCAGAACAUGAGCGCUGUCAAACUGUCCUUCGAGAAGCAGCUGCAGAACGAGAGAACCCUCAAGACCCAGGCCAUCAACAAGCUGACGGAGGUGAUGAACCGGAGGUUGACAGUGCAAGGCGUCCAGGUGGUCAACGACACAGAGGUGCGGCGCCGCAAGAAGGAGAACCAGAAGCUGCAGCAGGAGCUGCGCUCGGAGAAGGAGAAGCUCAACAGCAUCAUCAUCAAGUACCAGCGGGAUCUGAACGACAUGCAGGCGGUGAUCACGGAUGAGGGCCAGUCGCGCCUGGAGCUCCAGAUGGCGCUGGACAGCAAGGACAGCGACAUCGAGCAGCUGCGCUGCCAGAUCACCUCCCUCAGCAUCCACUCGCUGGACUCCACCAGCAUCAGCAGUGGCAACGACCUGGACGCCGACGAGGCCUACCCAGUGCGCGUCACUCACUCACACACCUCCGAGUCCAUGUCGUUCACGUACCAGCGCACGCAGAAGUCGGUCAGUAUCGGCACGCGGCCCGACCUGCGCUCAGCCCGCUUCCACUCCUCCGGCUCUGAGGAGGAAGAGGAGGAGGAGGAGGGACCUGCCAGGGGGGGCCCACCCUUGGCCCUCACCUGUGGGCGCCCCGCGGAGCCCGAGCGGGCAGCUGACUCUCGCCUGGAGGGCUGGCUGGCCCUUCCUACCAAGAGCUCCAAACGCUUUGGCUGGGACAAAAAGUACGUGGUGGUGAGCAGCAGGAAGAUCCUGUUCUACAACAGCGAGCUGGACCGAGAACAAGCCAUCCCCUUCAUGACGCUGGACCUCGAUAAACUGUUCCACGUGCGACCUGUCACUCAAACGGAUGUGUACCGCGCCGAUGCCAAAGAGAUUCCAAAGAUAUUCCAGAUCCUGUACGCCAACGAAGGCGAGAAUAAGCGCGAGCAGGAGUUUGCGGCGGAGCCGGUGGCGUUUGGCGAGCGGCCCUCCUUCAUCCCCCACAAGGGCCACGAGUUCAUCCCCACGCUCUACCACUUCCCGUCCAGCUGCGAGGCGUGCACGCGGCCCCUGUGGAACGUCUUCAAGCCCCCCCCGGCCCUCGAGUGCCGGCGCUGCCACACCAAGUGUCACAAGGACCAUCUGGACCGCAAGGAGGAGGUCAUCGCGCCCUGCAAAGUGAACUACGACAUGUCGAGCGCCAAGGAGCUGAUCCUGCUGGCCUGCUCCCAGGAGGACCAGCAGCGCUGGGUGGGCCGCCUCCUCAAGCGCGUCCCCCGCCGGCACCCCUCCAGCGCCGGCGCCCCGCCCAGCCACCCGGCCGCCGCCGAGCCCUCCGCACGCUCCUCCCCCAUGCUCUCCCCCCGGGGCUCCCCCCGGGGCUCCCCCCGCCUCUCACCCCACCGCAGCGCCAUCCGGCUGCAGAGCAGGACGCAGCCGGUGGCGCCGGCAGCCAGGAAGCCCAGCUCUGGGCCCACCAUGCUCCGCAUUAUUUUCCACUGACCACCACCAUCCACCCAAACCCCCUACCCCCCUGGCCCUCACCAUCCCUGUGCCCGUCUUGCUAGGAUGCUGCGUUGCUAGAGUUCGGCCUGGGGGACUGGAGCUGGUCGCUGGAUGAGGUGGAUAGUGAUGAGGAUGAUAGGUUCUUCUGAGGAAGGGCCGGAUAAACAGAGGAAAGAGGGGUUAACCCUGGGCAGAACGAGGAUGUUUGGAUGAUUUUAAUUUUAUUGUACUUUGAUUCUACAUUUGAGCAUAUUCUGUGACGUUAAUCAAAUCUAUGUGGUCCAGUGUAUAUAGACUGCAAACUGCAACCGACUUAUCUACCAUCAGAUACUGGAUCGUCCUGGAAUCUUUUUGUGAAAAAGAAUAAAGAACAUUGGCCGUCUGUUGUGUAAUACAGAUGGAGGGAUGCCAGGAAGAAACCAUAUAGACAAUGAGAACCAAAGAACAAAUACAUAGAGGCCUUAUUCUACAACCUGUGUGUGUGUGUGUGUGUGUGUGUGUGUGUGUGUGUGUGUGUGUGUGUGUGUGUGUGUGUGUGUGUGUGUGUGUGUGUGUGUGUGUGUGUGUGUGUGUGUGUGUGUGUGUGUGUGUCAAACAGUGUCUGUUUAUUAAUAAUAACCCAGAGAAUUGUAAUUAAUUUUCUCUUUAUGACAUGGAUACCAAAUCUAACUGCACAUAUUAUAUAUGUCUCACCUGUAAAUGAUUGAUAUUCUUAAGAAAGGGGAUAGCAUUGCAUUAUAAUCAGUCUUGUCAUAUGGAUGUAUUCUAAAAAGGACUCAUGUUUAUUAUAAUAUAGCACACAUUAUAAAACAAUGUGAAGAAACAACAAAAACAUUGUAGGAAUUCAGAUAUCUAUUUCUCCAUCUUCAAAAAUAAAUGGUUACACAAAUAGUUAAUAUCUGGAAAUAAGUUGUUUGGUUGUUCAUUAUUUCCAUCAGUUAAUUUCAAUGUCGGGAAUGUCAACAUGCAUAAAAUAAUAUAUAAAAACACCACUGCAUUCUAGACACUAAAGAUGUGUUUUGCAAAUCCUAAUGGUACCUGAAGCUAGGUCAAACGUGGAGCGUGUUUCGGGGCCAUGUCGCUGGAUUGUUGGGGGAUGCUUGAGGUCUCUGUCUCAAUUGGUCCAUAUGGUGGAUUCCAUAGCGUCUCCCUCUCCGUUUGGGCCCAUUCUGUCUGACCCAACGUAAUGCCUUCACAACAGAGGCGUCUUAAUAUAUUGUUCAACAAAUGUUUAUUGUGUGGGCUAACUGCUUCUAUUUUUGUUUUGUUCAAUGUUGCUUUUGAAACUCCUCUCCCCUAGCCCUGUUAGCUUGUUAUUAAACCCUUAUAAUGCCCUAAUGGUGUAAUUUGAAACCAAGUCUUCAGUCAUUAUGUCAGAGGCGGAGGCACGGGCGGGCCUAGGCCCGCCUACUUGUCAGUCUUGCCCGUCCAGCUCAAGAAUCUGUCAAAUCGUGAAAUCCUCCAUCCCAUGUCUUGAGACCGCCGUGUGCCUCCCCACUGAAUUCACGUCCCCAUGCUGCCUCCACAAGAGCUGUUAAUUAUUUUAUGUCGAGGCCAUCUGCAUUGCAAUUGUGGGCUGAGAAAUAAUUGACCUGUCGAUUAGUCAGAAUUUCUCAGCCCACAAUUGAGAUGCAGAUGGCCUGGGCCCGCCUACUUGUCUGGCUUUGCCCGCCCUUUUUUUUUUCCUCAGCAAUUUGAACAUUUAUGGUUACGCCACUGCGUGUAGUUGUAGAAACAGCCGCUCAGGACCGACUCCUUUAGCCCCAGACCCCACCAGAGGUCGCUAGACUGCGGCCCUCUGCUGCGGCAGACGGAGCCCGGACACAACGUCCGCGACGAUGAGUAACGGAGACCCAGGGGGCUGCAUCAUCCCUGCAGUAUAUCAAUAAAAUGUAUAAAUAUCAGAAAAAAUGACACCGACAUGUUGAAAAUAAUGUACUUGUACCUGAAGUGUUAAUCUUAACUGCACACAAAAAGUGUUUAAAAAUGUUAUCUAUAUAUCGCCUAUGAAAUCGUUUGAUAUUCGUGUAGCAAUUAAUAGUAUAUAGAAGUCUAUAGUUUAAGUAUUACCAGUACAGCUUUUAAAGGUGGACUAUUACCCAUUUGGUAUUGAAUUCUGCUACUGACGCAAGACUUUCCUUUCUCUAUUGCUUCAUUAAACUUAAAUUACAACGAGGCAUGGGGAUGGGUUUUCUCUGCUUCAGAAUAGAGAAAAGGGAGCAGCACGCAAGGUGUUAAUCCUCCACAGGCUGUACUGUAUGUUAGGCAGCAUAAGGCCUCUCCCACCGUUAGUGAAUACUUGCAUUGUAGAAAGAACAGCCUUCCUCGACAGAUUAGGAGUUCUAAGUAACAUUAAACAGACAGAUUGACAGAUACUCUGAGGGUUAUUGUGUUUUGGCAGCUCAAAGGAGAAGAGAAAAGGUGUAGGGCCUAUGUUAAGAUAUCAUAAAAAAUGCUGUUAAACAGAUUUUAUGUGCUACUUAAUAAAUGCAAAGUGGUCAAGUA